GAUGAACGCUGGCGGCGUGCCUAAUACAUGCCAGUCGAGCGAACGGACGAGAAGCUUGCUUCUCUGAUGUUAGCGGCGGACGGGUGAGUAACACGUGGAUAACCUACCUAUAAGACUGGGAUAACUUCGGGAAACCGUAGCUAAUACCGGAUAAUAUUUUGAACCGCAUGGUUCAAAAGUGAAAGACGGUCUUGCUGUCACUUAUAGAUGGAUCCGCGCUGCAUUAGCUAGUUGGUAAGGUAACGGCUUACCAAGGCAACGAUGCAUAGCCGACCUGAGAGGGUGAUCGGCCACACUGGAACUGAGACACGGUCCAGACUCCUACGGGAGGCAGCAGUAGGGAAUCUUCCGCAAUGGGCGAAAGCCUGACGGAGCAACGCCGCGCGAGUGAUGAAGGUCUUCGGAUCGUAAAACUCUGUUAUUAGGGAAGAACAUAUGUGUAAGUAACUGUGCACAUCUUGACGGUACCUAAUCAGAAAGCCACGGCUAACUACGUG
rnacentral:rRNA from 1 species